AAAUGAGCCUGCACUCGGUCUCCAAGAUCGUCCCGCAUCCCGACUACAGCUGUGGGCUGACCACCAGUGACAUCACUGCGGUCACCAUGCACUCAAGGCCCCCGACACUGCCCGUAUCUGACAUGUGUGCUCUGGGACGCCGUGCUAGGGAACCAGCUGGGCUGCUCCAGGGAGGAGUGUGAGCCCCUCUUCCCUCGCCCAGGAGACCCCUCCUGCACAUGCAACCACGGAGGUGAACUCCAACUGCUGCCCACCUUCUCCAGGCUUCUCCUGUGGGGACAUUGUGAGGUGGCAGCCAGGUGUGACAGCAUGGAUGAGGGAGGGAGGGCAGGACAUGCUACCCCUUCACCUACCUGUAGGGGCCCCAGUGACCUCUGAGGGCCACCUUGAGCCUUGCAGACUCUGUCUCUGGAUUCCAAAGAGCUGACAUUCCCCAAGGGGCAUCAAGGGGCCACCUGGAGAAGCCCAUGGUCAGGGCCGCUCCUGGGCCACCAACCUCAGCAGGUGCCCCCUCCACAGCAGAUGCCUUUAUGACAGUGACGACUGGGAACCCCGAGCCAGAGCCCCUCCCCCCCCAGAACCUCUGCCAAUCUGCAUCCCUCUUUUUUCUCCUUCCUUUUCUCCCUCUGCCACACUUUCCUGUCAUCCUCCAUCAACCCUUCAAUUCCACAAACAUUCACCAAGCGUGUCACACAGUCCUUGGGGGCAUCUGAGAGCCACACGCGCAAAUGACCAAACAAGAUGAUUUUGGAUGUUUCCACGUUCUAGGGAGAAAAUACAACAUGGUAGUGAGACAGACAGUCAGCGGAAGUAUAUGGGGUUCACUUUAGAUGGAAGAGGGCAGGGAAAGCCCUGCUGAGGAGGGCAGGACCACGGCACUGUUCUCUGGCCAUCCGGUGACAGUCAAGGUUAAAAUCCCACCGUGUGACCGUCUGGGAGGAGUCUGCAGGGAGAGGCGACCCCACGGCCGAAGCAAGCUUGGAGCUCACUAGGAAAGGACGGCAGGGGGAGGGGACAGGCAGGUGGUCAGAGUGGGGGAGAGCCAGAGGAAGGGGCUCUCAAGGACCGUGGGGAGUCCCAGGGUUUGCGGCUUAAGCGAUCCCUAGGGCUACAGUGGAGAAGGGGCUCCCUGGGCCUCCCUCCCGAGCCAGGGAGGGUUUCUGGUGCUGCUUCCUGGACAAUGAGCCACCCUUGGCCUUGACUGUAGGGAGUUCCCAGGAGACUGGCCAGUCACAAAUGCUCAGGUGCUAAGGACUAUGUCGGGGAAAACUCAUCCCCUUGCCAUGCCCAGGGACCCAGUCCCUACCUAGCCCUGGCUUCCCUGGGACCCAUGCUGCUCCUGAGUCUGCCAGCCUGAGCCCACACCCACUGGCCCUCUCUCUGUAGGGUGACUUGGCGGGGGUCACGCCAGUGUGUGCAGUCAAGGAGGCUUGGUGACAGGCCGCCUGCAUCCUCUGGAGAAGGUUCUGUAGUUACCAAUGGCUUGGUGUCUCAUGGGCAUCUCCCUCAGCGUACUCUGGAUCGAGGACAUCAUCUGGAGCCCUCUCUCCCUGCUCCAGGCGGGGACCCUGGCUCUGCCUGCCCCUGCUGCCAGCAGCUGAUUCCCAUGAUAGUCACCACCCAGGCCCUCUGGGGUGACCCCAGGGCCAGGCCCAAGACCCAGGGUUCCCACAGAGUGGACACCUCCUGCGAGUUCCAGCCUGGCUCCCCUGCCUGGAGGGAGCCCCAGAAGCCAAUGCUGGGAAACUCAUCGCUCUGCGAACCCCACCCUGGACCUGGUUCAGGACACGCAGAGGGGCACCGAGCAGGCACGGUCCUCCUAGGACCCCUGUCUGGAGAGUCACUGCUCACAGUGACACUGAGAUGGACAGCCUAGCGGUGUCUCUCUCCCAUUUUGGCAAUUUCCUUCCUCCUAAAACCCCGGGCAAAAAAGUUUGUGAAAGGCCAAUUCAACUUUCACGAUUUAAUCUGGAGGAGGGUGAUGAGAGGGGCUAGGCCUGCGGCCAAGGGGCAGCCAGGGCAGGCGGGGACCAGCAGGGAGGACAAAACCCAAGGCCUGCAUUUCCCCCAGGAAGUCCUGCAAGGGAACCUCUCUUCCCGCCUCAGCCCACAGUGCUAGGCCUCCAGUGGGCACUCAAGGACGCGUUAUCGUACCUUUGGAAGGCCUGGCUGCGGGCCACGUCCUUGAGCCUUCUUGGAGGAAGGAGUGGGUAGAAAAGGAGGCAGCCAGAACCCCAGGGUUGCAGACAAGAAAAGGAUUGUGGGG
rnacentral:lncRNA from 1 species